UACGGGGGGAGCAAGCGUUGUUCGGAUUUACUGGGCGUAAAGGGCGCGUAGGCGGUCAGCACAAGUCAGUUGUGAAAUCUCCGGGCUUAACUCGGAAAGGUCAACUGAUACUGUGCGACUAGAGUGCAGAAGGGGCAACUGGAAUUCCUGGUGUAGCGGUGAAAUGCGUAGAGAUCGGGAAGAACAUCAGUGGCGAAGGCGGUCUGCUGGGCCGUUGCUGACGCUGAGGCGCGACAGCGUGGGGAGCAAACAGG
rnacentral:rRNA from 1 species